CAAAAUAUAGCUUAAUUAAAGCACCUCGUUUACACCAAGAAGUUAUCUGUGCAAUUCAGAUUAUUUUGA
rnacentral:tRNA from 1 species